AAAGAGAGCACAGUCUAAAAGGUAGUGAUGUUCAGAGCCAACUUGACCAGAGUAACAAAGUGUACAUGUUCUUUGAUCAAAUGGGGUUCCAUCAAAUCGUCCAGUUUCAACUGGUAGCCAGUGGUUAGCUGUUCUGAAUUUAAAGAGGGUAUGUACUAGUGUGGGCCUGGUUGAAGAUUGAUUGGAGUUCACCAGUGAUGUAUUCUACCGUUUGCUGUGAUUGUGGGUCAUGUAGUGUGUCUACCCCCCCCCCACUGGCCUAGCGGGAUUGGCUGUUGGCAUCGUUGGUGAUGUUCAUAUUGGUGGCUGGUACCGAGCUUGUGUUACUGGAUUGAGACAGAGUGUCUUUUUUGGAUUUAUUAUCUCAAGGUCGUUGGAUACUAUUGGCUGGCGUCUGGGAAUGGAGGGGAGUUCUUGGCGAUAUUGGUGCGCGGCUGCGUGUGAGGACUGCUGCCCUCGAAGGAUUGGGAGACACUGAUUGUGAUCUUCUAGGGACGUGGUUGGCACUACGCACUGGUGCACUGGUGCAUAAUUGCGUUUCCAGUGUUGGGCGCAAGUGUGCUAGAUGCUGAG